GAAACGCGAUAGUUAAUGUGAAUUGCAGAAUUCAGUGAAUCAUCGAGUCUUUGAACGCACAUUGCGCCUACUGGUAUUCCGGUAGGCACGUCUGUUUGAGCGUCAGCAAAACCCCUCCGGCCCCCGGCUUGUCACGAGCCCCGGGGGACACGGGCGUGCUGGCGUAGGGGAUUUAGGCCGCCGCGCUUCGGUGCGGGCCGGGCCCUCCCCCGCUUAAACCUGUGGAAGCCAGCGGGCACGGCCCCGGAUUGCGAACGACUCGUAGAACCUACUGUCGCCAGCGUCCGAGCCUGCCCCGCCUCCAUCCGAGAGUGGGAAACCUUUCCCAUCAGAACUCUUGACCUCAGAUCAGACGAGGAUACCCGCUGAACUUAA
rnacentral:misc_RNA from 1 species